GGUUGAUUAAGGGUUAAGGUUAGGGUAAGGUGUAGGGUUUGAUUAUAUGGUUGAUUAAGGGUUAAGGGUAGGGUUAGGUGUAGGGUUUAAUUUUAGGGUUGAUUAAGGGUUAAGGUUAGGGUAAGGUGUAGGGUUUAAUUUUAGGGUUGAUUAAGGGUUAAGGUUAGGGUAAGGUGUACGGGUAGGUUCUAUUUUGAAUCAUUUACAUUCAACA